rnacentral:rRNA from 1 species
CAGCCGCCGCGGUAAUACCGGCGGCCCGAGUGGCGGUCACUCUUAUUGGGCUUAAAGCGUCCGUAGCCGGGUUGGGAAGGCCUCCGGGAAAUCUGGCCGCUUAACGGUCAGAAUGCCGGAGGAUACUCCCAGCCUAGGGAGCGGGAGAGGCCGAGGGUAUUCCCGGAGUAGGGGUGAAAUCCUAUAAUCCCGGGAGGACCACCUGUGGCGAAGGCGCUCGGCUGGAACGCGUCCGACGGUGAGGGACGAAGGCCAGGGGAGCAAACCGGAUUAGAUACCCGGGUAGUCCUGGCUGUAAACGAUGCGGACUUUGUGUCGGACAAGCUAUGAGCUUGUCCGGUGCCGGAGGGAAACCGUUAAGUCCGCCGCCUGGGGAGUACGGCCGCAAGGCUGAAACUUAAAGGAAUUGGCGGG